rnacentral:lncRNA from 1 species
AUAUAUAUAUAUAUUAUUCUUACAACGGCUAUACAACAAUGUCAUUUCCUCUUCAUUUUUUACCCUUUGUCUCCAAAUAGUAAGGGUGCUCAUCGUUUUUUCCUUUUCAUGCUGUCAUAUACAGGCAAAAUGGUGAGGUAAAGCUAGUGAAUUUUGUUAAAUUGCACAAAGAAUCCAUCUCCCAGACCCCACAUAUUGAGAUCAGGGUUUAUUGUUGUUGCACAAAGAAUCCAUCAUAAUGCUUGCGCGUAAAACAAUUCCACAAGCUAUUAUCACUUGAAACAAAUCAUCCAACAUGGUUGAGCUAAAUACCUUUUCAAGUUGACUUCGAAGCACAGUGAUGCUUGUAAUAUAAAAAACUAUAGGGUAUACUAGUAAAUUCAGUUAGUACUUGGUUUUCAUAGGUCAUAUUUAUGUAACUCUCCGCCAAUAUAUUUACAAUACUCGGCACUCACUCCAGCAAUUUUUUUUUUUAAAUUCCCUCCCAAAUUAGGAGGAUCUAUAGUGCUUUACCAAGUGAGCAAGCCUCACUAGUCACUCACUCCAGCAAUUGCUUGUGCUUACACCAGGCAAUUGCAAUCACAUAUAAGAAGAGACUGCCAGUGGCACCACCACCAAUUGUCCAUAAGAAUUCUGGCAUCCCAGCUUUAGCUUUGUCGAAUAGUUCAAUGGUAAUAUUCAUGCCGAAAAUUCCAGCCACAACAACAAAGGUGCUCACAACAAGAGUUGCUGUUGUUAACAUGACAUCCAGCUUUAGCGUCGUCGAAUAGUUCAAUGGUAAUAUUCAUGCCGAAAAUUCCAGCCACAACAACAAAGGCGCUCACCACAAGGGUUGCUGUUGUUAACAUGACGCCCAUUUGUAAAAGAUGGUUCUGCUUGUCGUCCAGCAUGAUGUUGAUGUAGUCCUCUGUGUCAUCCACAUACUCCCGCAGCUUUAAAGAAAUGAAAAUAGAUUCAUAAGAGAGAUCAUAACAGCGGAACAAACUAAAGUCCAGCAUAAGUGUAUUGUCCACGUAGCUACAAAAUUAGAUUAAAUUUAAAUCCGGAUAAGGUCGAAACAGAGACAUUUAUACAAUAGUAAAUGUAAAAUUUUGACUUGUGCAGUCAAUAAUUCAAUGAAGCAACAACUGGUACUAUAGAGAAACAGCCAUAAACUAGAGGCUUGACAUAUUUGAAAGAUAAUUUAAAGAGCUGUUUGAUCAAGUAAAGGAUCAUCUCUGAUAAUACUAUUUCAAAAUCAAUGUAGUUAUUUGCAAUUACAAUCUAUUCUACAUGCAAUAUUUUUAUCCAAUGGUAGUUUCAUC